rnacentral:rRNA from 1 species
UACAGAGGUGCCAAGCGUUAGGCGGAAUCACUGGGCUUAAAGCGCGUGUAGGUGGACGGGUAAGUACCUUGUGAAAUCCCACAGCUCAACUGUGGAACUGCUGGGUAUACUGCUUGUCUUGAGGCAUUCAGGGGCAACCGGAACAAAUGGUGGAGCGGUGAAAUGCGUAGAUAUCAGGAGGAACACCGGUGGCGAAGGCGGCUAUCUGGACAGAGUCUGACGCUGAGGCGCGAAAGCUAGGGGAGCAAACAGG